rnacentral:lncRNA from 1 species
UUUUCUUUUAAGAUGGGGACAAUAAUAGCGUGUUGGUAUGCUUACGGGAACGAUCCAGUAAACAGGGCAAGCAGAGGAUGCAGGAGGGCUAGAGGAGAAUUGCUGGGGCAACGUCCUUGAGUUGGUGAAAGGGGUGAGAUCGAGUGCCCAAGUGGAGGGGUUGGCCUGGGAUAGGAGCACGGACAGUUCAGCCAGAGAAGUGAUAACGAGCAUGGAGGACAGGUGCAUGGCGCCGGCGUAUGGUGGAAACAUGGCUUCUUCCAGAUUGCCAAGGGUGAGAGUAGAGUGAAUGCGCUCCACUGUGACCACGCUAUCUGCCUGGGGAAGAUCGAGACUCCCUUCCUCCUCCGCCAGCCCCGGCACCACAGUGAAAUGGGAUGGCUGCGGUUUAUGGUUCACAUUUCAACCUGGAUGGUGGGAGUUUCCAUGUUAUGGUCAUAGCUGCAAAUCUCUGCCACUCUCAGUGCUGACUGCUAACUGUUCAGGUGCACAUGCAGAGAAGGAAGUCUCUGCCACUCUCAGUGCUGACCGCUACCUGUUCAGCACCUCUGCAUGGCAAAGGAAGAAAGGAAGGAAGGAAAGAAGACAGGAAGGAAAGAAGGAAGGUGGAGAAGAUUUUAGAAGGUCUGCCGAGAGCAGCUGGACUGAGCGAUCGACAGAGGACCUCAUGCCACAUGUGCUGAUCACAGUAGAACCUGUGAAUUCGAUUUUAUUAAGAAUGUUGAUGGACAUGACCAAUACAUUAGAAAUAUACAAAUAUCUCACCACAGCAGCGCUUUCUGUGAUUUUCACUCUAAGACUACAACAGUGUGAAAGACAGUGCACAAGAGUCAUCUAGCAUUGUGCUGCCUCUUCCAGAACACAAAGAUAACAAGGAAGCAGCAGGGAACAGAGGAGCCUCCAUCUGCAAGGAUGAAUGUGAUAAUGGUGGGGUGGCUCCUACCUGCUUUACGUCCUCAUAACGGUUCAGAUGGAUCGCAUCUCUGGAUUUCUGCAUCUUGUAGCCAGCCACGAGGCAUGGCCACACACUUUUGGGUAGCUGAAGCUAAAGCACUUAUUUAGGUGGUUGACUAAUUGUGCCUUUAUGUUGCCUUCUGGAUAGAAGGAGGAAGAAGAGGAGGAGGAAGGAACCUUUAUGCCCAUUGUUUUUUACUAGGCUGCC